GGGGAUAUGGCGAAAUUGGUAGACGCUACGGACUAAAAUCCGUCGACUUUAGAAAUCGUGAGGGUUCAAGUCCCUCUAUCCCCA
rnacentral:tRNA from 19 species